UGGGGAAUCUUGGACAAUGGGCGCAAGCCUGAUCCAGCCAUGCCGCGUGGAUGAUGAAGGCCUUAGGGUUGUAAAAUCCUUUCGCCGAGGACGAUAAUGACGGUACUCGGAGAAGAAGCUCCGGCUAACUUCGUGCCAGCAGCCGCGGUAAUACGAAGGGGGCUAGCGUUGUUCGGAUUUACUGGGCGUAAAGCGCGUGUAGGCGGGUCGUUAAGUUGGGGGUGAAAUCCCGAGGCUCAACCUCGGAACUGCCUUCAAAACUGGCGACCUGGACCUAAGUAGAGGCAAGUGGAAUUGCGAGUGUAGAGGUGAAAUUCGUAGAUAUCAAGAGGAACACCUGAGGUGAAGACGGGUUGCUGGGCUGACACUGACGCUGAGGCGCGAAAGCCAGGGGAGCAAACGGGAUUAGAUACCCCCGUAGUCCCUGAGCGGGCUGGCAAGGCGCAU
rnacentral:rRNA from 1 species